CCUACGGGAGGCAGCAGUGGGGAAUAUUGCACAAUGGGGGAAACCCUGAUGCAGCGAAGCCGCGUGAGUGAAGAAGUAAUUAGUUAUGUAAAGCUCUAUCAGCAGGGAAGAAAAUGACGGUACCUGAGUAAGAAGCCCCGGCUAACUACGUGCCAGCAGCCGCGGUAAUACGUAGGGGGCAAGCGUUAUCCGGAUUUACUGGGUGUAAAGGGAGCGUAGACGGCAGUGCAAGUCAGGAGUGAAAGGCGGGGGCUCAACCCCCGGACUGCUCUGGAAACUGUACGGCUUGAGUGCAGGAGAGGUAAGUGGAAUUCCUAGUGUAGCGGUGAAAUGCGUAGAUAUUAGGAGGAACACCAGUGGCGAAGGCGGCUUACUGGACUGUAACUGACGUUGAGGCUCGAAAGCGUGGGGAGCAAACAGGAUUAGAUACCCCAGUAGUC
rnacentral:rRNA from 1 species